rnacentral:rRNA from 1 species
ACUAAAUAGAUACCCGGGUAGUCCAUGCCGUAAACUAUGGAUACUAGCUGUUGGGGGUAUCGACCCCUCCAGUAGCGAAAGCUAAACGCGUUAAGUAUCCCGCCUGUGGAGUACGAUCGCAAGAUUAAAACAUAAAGGAAUUGACGGGGACCCGCACAAGCGGUGGAGCGUGUUCUUAAUUCGAUGCUAAACGAAGAACCUUACCAGGGCUUGACAUCCCUUGAAUUACUCCGAAAGGAGUGAGUGCUUUAAUUGAGCAAGGUGACAGGUGAUGCAUGGCCGUCGUCAGCUCGUGUCGUGAGAUGUUUGGUUAAGUCCAUCAACGAGCGCAACCCUUAUACUUAGUUGAUUUUUCAGGUAGACUGCCCCGGUAACGGGGA